rnacentral:rRNA from 1 species
AUUGAACGCUGGCGGCAGGCCUAACACAUGCAAGUCGAGCGGCAGCGGGAAAGUAGCUUGCUACUUUUGCCGGCGAGCGGCGGACGGGUGAGUAAUGCCUGGGAAAUUGCCCAGUCGAGGGGGAUAACAGUUGGAAACGACUGCUAAUACCGCAUACACCCUACGGGGGAAAGCAGGGGACCUUCGGGCCUUGAGCGAUUGGAUAUGCCCAGGUGGGAUUAGCUAGUUGGUGAGGUAAUGGCUCACCAAGGCGACGAUCCCUAGCUGGUCUGAGAGGAUGAUCAGCCACACUGGAACUGAGACACGGUCCAGACUCCUACGGGAGGCAGCAGUGGGGAAUAUUGCACAAUGGGGGAAACCCUGAUGCAGCCAUGCCGCGUGUGUGAAGAAGGCCUUCGGGUUGUAAAGCACUUUCAGCGAGGAGGAAAGGUCAGUAGCUAAUAUCUGCUGGCUGUGACGUUACUCGCAGAAGAAGCACCGGCUAACUCCGUGCCAGCCGCCGCAGUAAAAC